rnacentral:rRNA from 1 species
GACGAACGCUGGCGGCGUGCUUAACACAUGCAAGUCGAACGGAAAGGCCCUGCUUUUGUGGGGUGCCCGAGUGGCGAACGGGGGAGUAACACGUGAGUAACCUGCUCUUGACUUUGGGAUAACUUCAGGAAACGGGGGCUAAUACCGGAUAGGAGCUCCUGCUGCAUGGUGGGGGGUGGAAAGUUUCGGCGGUUGGGGAUGGACGCGCGGCUUAUCAGCUUGUUGGUGGGGGAGUGGCUGACCAAGCCUGUGACGGGUCGCCGGCCUGAGAGGGUGACCGGCCUCCUUGGGCCUGCGGUACGGCCCAGUCUCCUACGGGGGGCAGCGGUGGGGAAUAUUGCCCAGUGGGCGCGAGCCUGUGGCGGCGGCGCCGCGUUCGUGAUGACGGCCUUCGGGUUGUGAACCGCUUUCGCCUGUGACGAAGCGUGAGUGACGGUACUGGGUAAAGAAGCACCGGCUAACUACGUG